GAUGAAGAACGCAGCGAAAUGCGAUAAGUAAUGUGAAUUGCAGAAUUCAGUGAAUCAUCGAAUCUUUGAACGCACAUUGCGCCCGCCAGUAUUCUGGCGGGCAUGCCUGUUCGAGCGUCAUUACAACCCUCAGGCCCCCGGGCCUGGCGUUGGGGAUCGGCGGAGCCCCCCGUGGGCACACGCCGUCCCCCAAAUACAGUGGCGGUCCCGCCGCAGCUUCCAUCGCGUAGUAGCUAACACCUCGCGACUGGAGAGCGGCGCGGCCACGCCGUAAAACACCCAACUCUUCUGAAGUUGACCUCGAAUCAGGUAGGAAUACCCGCUGAACUUAAGCAUAUCAAUAACGGAGGA
rnacentral:misc_RNA from 1 species